rnacentral:tRNA from 3 species
GCAGGCGUGGUGUAGCAUGGUAGCACUAGAGCCUUCCAAGCUCUCGACCCGGGUUCAAAUCCCGGCGCCUGCA